CAGCAGCAACCAGCGACCACAUCCCUCCCAUAUCUGGCCUCUGUCCACUCGUCAUCUAGGAGGAGGUGCUGCUGCACCAGACCACUCUCUGCCUGACAUCUCUAAUACACGCAAUUACACAAUUUAUCAAACCUCCUUCAGACGUUCCAAUCAACACAGUCACACGCCAAACGCCGAAGAUGAUGAUGAAGACAAAUGAAUUGGAUUCAUGUUUGAGAAAAGCACUCUUGGCAGACUACAGCAAAGGAAAUGGCUACAAAGCAGUAUCAAAUAAAUAUGAAAAACCAAAAUCCACCAUCACAGCAAUAAUCAAGAAAUACCACAGAACAAAUUCAACCGAAACGCUUGAAAGAAGUGGACAUCCAAUAAAAUUACGAGUACAGCAGGUAGGAGAAUCAUCUGAGUAGCUAAAAAAGAUCCAAGAUUAAAAAUCAAGGACUUAAAGAAAGAUUUAGAAGCAUCAGGCAUAAUAGUGCACGAGAGAACUGCACAAAGACACCUGAACACAAAAGAGUUGUAUACCUGUAGAUCUCACUGCAAACCACUUUUAAAGAAAAUCAAUAAAACAAACAAAUCUGAAGCAUUCUUUAACAAAAUUCUCUGGUCCAAUGAGACUAAAAUAUAACCUUCCCCCAAAAAUGAACAAUAGUAUUUUUGGAGAAAAAAGGGGAAGUCUUCAAUGAAGAAAGCCUUGUACCUACAUUUAAACAUGGAGGUGGUUUGUCCGUGAUAUGGGGGUGUUUUAGCAGUUCAGGGGUUGAGACAUUCAUGUCAUUGAAGAUGGAAUUAAUGCAGCCAUGUAUCAAAACAUUCUACAAAGUACAAUGAUACCAUCUGCUCGUAGGAUGAUUGGCAGACAGGUUAUCUUCCAACACAACCAUGACCCAAAGCAUACAGCUAAGUCAACUGGAAUUCUUGAAGAAAAUUAAGAUAAAAAUUUUGGAGCUCAUUUUUAUAUUGCGAGAGGCUAAGUUCAGAUACCAUAGUUAUCACCUGCUAUUUUAAAGUUAUCACCUGCCAUUUCAAUGUUAUCACCUGUUUCUUUUUUUCAAGUAGAAUAGUAGUCGAGUUUCAAUAUGACAGGUAGGCUAGCAAAUACCCCCAUUCUACAUGCUGUAUGUCUGAAAAUACACAAACCAUGCAAUACAGGUUUAAAUGACCUAACACCUCAUUUUCUAUCUGUGUAUGACUUAUUAUUAUUUACAUAUUCACAUGUAAUUUACACGUUUGUAACUGCACUAUAAACACAGCAUUGUGUUAAAAUAAAGAGUUAUUUAAUAAAUCUAAUUUAAUAUUUAACAGAAUUUCACAAACAAGAUUUAACAUACUGUUUGAAGUAUCAUAAACAUCUGAAAGCCAUAAUAAAAGCAAAAGGAGGACACACAAAAUACUAAAGCAGGGGUGCCAAUAAUUUUGUCAUUAACGAAUACUUUAAAUGAAAUAGGUUUUUUUAGGGUUUUUUUAAUAAAGGUUUUUUAAGUAUUUUUAUAAAGAUUAUUAGUGUAUUUUGCAUUUGAAUUAAAAAAUAGUUAAAGUAAGGGUCCCCGAGUGACUCAUCAGUUAAAGUGCUGCCACUGGGUGUGCAGGAUGAGUCAUACAGAUUGGACGGCGCCAGUCUGCUUUCUGGUGUGGGGGAUGGGAAACUGGCAGGAUUCCUUCUCCUCAUCGCGCAACAGUGAACCCUACUGGCCAGACACUGAGCACAUUCAGAAUGGAUAAAAAGCAGGGCUGACCUCUGUAGCCCGCCCACCUCCGCUCUGGAUUGCUCGCCAUAAAAGCGAUUCUGGCGUUAGGCUUGUGAGAUUGGAGGAUACACACACCCUCAGAACGUUUGUACUGUGUGGGGACUCGCUGCGGUGAAGAGAAAAAACAUAAGUGACAUUCCAAAUUGGGGGUAAAAAUAAAUAAAAAUAAUAAUUGGUCACCUAAAUUAAAAAUAAUAAUAAAAAAGUUUACUAAAUGCUUGUCCUUAAUCUGUUACCUUGAAUUACAGCAUAGCCUAAUAUGCAUAGGGUGCCAAAAAUUUUCUCUGUGACUGUAGGUGACACAGACCUGUUGUCACAAAUUACACGCUUGUGCUUCUUUCCAAUCUGCUAGGAAAUGUCUAUGGUUAAAGUACACCAUAUCGUCUGCCUAUGUGCUGCUGGGGGAAAAUAAAUAAAAAAUCAGUAUAGUUUGGCCUUGAUGUGCAAAUGGUAAUAGCAUCUGAAAGGAGUGGAGAAUCCUGUGAGCUGUGUUACUUGCUGUGAACCUAUUGCUGCCAAUAAAGAGCCUGCCGGCUAUUGAAUCAUG